UACGUAGGGUGCAAGCGUUAAUCGGAAUUACUGGGCGUAAAGCGUGCGUAGGUGGUUUGUUAAGUCUGAUGUGAAAGCCCUGGGCUCAACCUGGGAACUGCAUUGGAAACUGGCUUACUAGAGUGCGGUAGAGGGUGGCGGAAUUCCCGGUGUAGCAGUGAAAUGCGUAGAUAUCGGGAGGAACAUCCGUGGCGAAGGCGGCCACCUGGACCAGCACUGACACUGAGGCACGAAAGCGUGGGGAGCAAACAGG
rnacentral:rRNA from 1 species